CCAUGGCCCUACUAUCCGUCGUCUCGCAUCUGCAUCCCUUUUCUUCAUGAUCAGUAGAUAUGUCUCCGUGGCACUCCUCUAAGUCCACCUACAUUCUAACUGAUGUUUGAUUUUGGGUAGCUAAGUCCCUUUGGACUCGUCGUCGCUUCCUCGCCCCUUUCGACCCCCUACUUCAACACCUCUGUGUUCUCCAAGCAGCUCUCCUUUGGUCGAUGGAAAGACAGUCUGCAACUUCCAUGCAUGGCCUCUGCCAUCACAUUAUAGGGUUUGCACCGAUUCUGUUCUCCUUAGCUUCCUUGGUAGCAACGUUCGCUUACUCGACCUUGUCCUCUGACUUGUCG
rnacentral:lncRNA from 1 species